UACAGAGGGGGCAAGCGUUGUUCGGAAUUACUGGGCGUAAAGGGCGCGUAGGCGGCCCGCUAAGUCGAACGUGAAAUCCCCGAGCUCAACUCGGGAACUGCGUCCGAUACUGGCGGGCUUGAAUCCGGGAGAGGGAUGCGGAAUUCCAGGUGUAGCGGUGAAAUGCGUAGAUAUCUGGAGGAACACCGGUGGCGAAGGCGGCAUCCUGGACCGGCAUUGACGCUGAGGCGCGAAAGCUAGGGGAGCAAACGGG
rnacentral:rRNA from 1 species